CCUCUCUCUCUUUCUUUCUCUCUCUCUCUCUCUCUCUCUCUCUCUCUCUCUCUCACGCUUACUCUCACUCUUACUCUUACUUUCUGUGUGACUCUCAGCGGUUAGACUAAAGUAUUCGCGGCUGGAGACGAACUUGACCCGGUUGUCGUUAAAAUAGUGACGAGGCGAUCAGUCCAUAAGUGAGUUGUGUCGAGCGUGUACGUGUGCGAUAGUCGAAAGAAAAGACUUACAGGACGGAUGCGGAAAUCGUAUAACGUCCUUCACCAUGACGUUAUAUGCUCCUGCAUUAUGACAUGCUCCUAAACAUGAUCGCAUAACCGCGUCACGUGGACGAUAUUGGACUCAUUAACUGGAGAGUACGUGGAAGGGUCGCUUCCGAAAGGGGUCGGAAGGAACAGAGAGAGAGAGAGAGAGAGAGAGAGAGGGACUACAUUCGGUAAGAGGCGUCCCCGUGCGUGUCGAGAGCUAGGAUCGAUAUGGAGAAAUACGGACUACUAAUCUCCGAAACGCUUCUGGAUAGUGUCACUCUGAUUGCUAACACGGAAAAUGAAGCAAUUAUAGGUACCGCCUUUGAUCAAACUCGGAUGCUUAACGAAGCGACGCUAUGAGAGAUGCGAUCUGACGGAGAAUCAUGAUCGACUGUGAGAAAUUCAUAUCUCCGUGAAGAUCUUUCAUGGAAUAAGAACCGUACGGCAAGUAAAUCGAAGUUUAACGAGGUUAGAAAACGGAAGAAGAGGACUUUCGAGAGGGGGGAAAAAGCGUCAUCAUUCAGCUACAAGGCAAAUAAAACGACGACUUAUGUGGAACUAAGAAGUUUAAUUAUAAUAAGUAACCAACAAUCAUUUCCUUUGUCAUUCAUUUGUUCAAAUCUGAAUGAUUUAAUAAUAUUUUAAUGAAUUUUAA